rnacentral:rRNA from 1 species
CCUACGGGCGGCUGCAGUGGGGAAUAUUGGUCAAUGGGCGAGAGCCUGAACCAGCCAAGUCGCGUGAAGGAAGAAGGUUCUAUGGAUUGUAAACUUCUUUUGCAGGGGAAUAAAGUGAGCUACGUGUAGUUUAUUGUAUGUACCAUGCGAAUAAGGAUCGGCUAACUCCGUGCCAGCAGCCGCGGUAAUACGGAGGAUCCGAGCGUUAUCCGGAUUUAUUGGGUUUAAAGGGUGCGUAGGCGGGAGAUUAAGUCAGUGGUGAAAGUUUGCAGCUCAACUGUAAAAUUGCCAUUGAAACUGAUUUUCUUGAGUGUAAAUAAGGUAGGCGGAAUGUGUUGUGUAGCGGUGAAAUGCAUAGAUAUAACACAGAACCCCGAUUGCGAAGGCAGCUUACCGGGCUAUAACUGACGCUGAGGCACGAAAGCGUGGGGAUCAAACAGGCUUAGAUACCCGGGUAGUC